rnacentral:rRNA from 1 species
UACAGAGGUCUCAAGCGUUGUUCGGAUUCACUGGGCGUAAAGGGUGCGCAGGUGGCAUGGUAAGUUCGAUGUGAAAGCCCCGGGCUUAACCCGGGAAAGGCAUUGGAUACUACUGUGCUGGAGGAUUGGAGGGGGGACUGGAAUUCUUGGUGUAGCAGUGAAAUGCGUAGAUAUCAAGAGGAACACCAGUGGCGAAGGCGAGUCCCUGGACAAUACCUGACACUGAGGCACGAAAGCCAAGGGAGCAAACAGG